UAGCCUUGUGGAUAAGGCUUCGGAUCGCCAAUCCGGAGACGGUGGGUUCGAUUCCCGU
rnacentral:tRNA from 1 species